GUCGCGAUGGCCGAGUGGUUAAGGCGUUAGACUUGAGAUCCAAUGGGGUUUCCCCGCGCAGGUUCGAACCCUGCUCGCGACG
rnacentral:tRNA from 1 species